rnacentral:rRNA from 1 species
AGCUUGCUUCUCGCUGACGAGCGGCGGACGGGUGAGUAAUACUUAGGAAUCUACCUAGUAGUGGGGGAUAGCUCGGGGAAACUCGAAUUAAUACCGCAUACGACCUACGGGAGAAAGGGGGCAACUUGUUGCUCUCGCUAUUAGAUGAGCCUAAGUCGGAUUAGCUAGAUGGUGGGGUAAAGGCCUACCAUGGCGACGAUCUGUAGCUGGUCUGAGAGGAUGAUCAGCCACACCGGGACUGAGACACGGCCCGGACUCCUACGGGAGGCAGCAGUGGGGAAUAUUGGACAAUGGGGGCAACCCUGAUCCAGCCAUGCCGCGUGUGUGAAGAAGGCCUUUUGGUUGUAAAGCACUUUAAGCAGUGAAGAAGACUCCAUGGUUAAUACCCAUGGACGAUGACAUUAGCUGCAGAAUAAGCACCGGCUAACUCUGUGCCAGCAGCCGCGGUAAUACAGAGGGUGCAAGCGUUAAUCGGAAUUACUGGGCGUAAAGCGAGCGUAGGUGGCUUGAUAAGUCAGAUGUGAAAGCCCCGGGCUUAACCUGGGAACGGCAUCUGAUACUGUUAGGCUAGAGUAGGUGAGAGGAAGGUAGAAUUCCAGGUGUAGCGGUGAAAUGCGUAGAGAUCUGGAGGAAUACCGAUGGCGAAGGCAGCCUUCUGGCAUCAUACUGACACUGAGGUUCGAAAGCGUGGGUAGCAAACAGGAUUAGAUACCCUGGUAGUCCACGCCGUAAACGAUGUCUACUAGUCGUUGGGUCCCUUGAGGACUUAGUGACGCAGCUAACGCAAUAAGUAGACCGCCUGG